AGAGUUUGAUCAUGGCUCAGAUUGAACGCUGGCGGUAUGCUUAACACAUGCAAGUCGAACGGUAACAGGACUAGCUUGCUAGUCGCUGACGAGUGGCGGACGGGUGAGUAACGCGUAGGGAUCUACCUAGCAAUGGGGGAUAGCCCGGUGAAAACCGGAUUAAUACCGCAUACGUCCUAUGGGAGAAAGGGUGCCUCUUCUUGAAAGCACUCGUUGUUAGAUGAACCUGCGUCGGAUUAGCUAGUUGGUGGGGUAAUGGCUCACCAAGGCGACGAUCCGUAGCUGGUCUGAGAGGAUGACCAGCCACACUGGGACUGAGACACGGCCCAGACUCCUACGGGAGGCAGCAGUGGGGAAUAUUGCGCAAUGGGCGAAAGCCUGACGCAGCAAUACCGCGUGUGUGAAGAAGGCCUGAGGGUUGUAAAGCACUUUCAGUAGGGAGGAAAGGAUGUACGUUAAUA
rnacentral:rRNA from 1 species